rnacentral:rRNA from 1 species
UACGUAGGGUGCGAGCGUUAAUCGGAAUUACUGGGCGUAAAGCGUGCGCAGGCGGUUUUGUAAGUCUGUCGUGAAAGCCCCGGGCUCAACCUGGGAAUUGCGAUGGAGACUGCAAGGCUAGAAUCUGGCAGAGGGGGGUAGAAUUCCACGUGUAGCAGUGAAAUGCGUAGAGAUGUGGAGGAACACCGAUGGCGAAGGCAGCCCCCUGGGUCAAGAUUGACGCUCUGCACGAAAGCGUGGGGAGCAAACAGGAUUAGAGUAACCCUGGCAU